rnacentral:rRNA from 1 species
CGGUAAAGACGCAUGCAGGCGGCCGUCGUUAAGUUACAGAUGUGAAAGACCCGGGGACCGUUUAACCUACCGGUAAGUUAGCAUUUAGUAAACUAGGCGAGGCUAGAGUCUUGUAGAGGGGGGUAGGAAUUUCUAGGUGUAGCGGUGAAAUGCGUAGAGAUCUGAAGGAAUACCAGUGGCGAAGGCGGCCCCCUGGACAAAGACUGACGCUCAGAUGCGAAAGCGUGGGGAGCAAACAGGAUUAGAUACCCUGGUAG